CCUGGAUUAGGUUACACAUCAAAAUAUAUUGAAUCAUGCAUUCCUGCUUCCACUGCUUAGAUGAAAUAACUUUUUUUAAAUACCUCAGUAGCCUAUGUAUUGCACUUCUUAAUGAAGGUCUACGAUUGACUUAGGCUGACCACAUUAUGGGCUGGUGCCACCAACAAAGUUAGUGUCACCAGUGACAGCAGGGAGAAAUUAGUUGGCUGUGCGCACGGUGCUGUGGGCUGGUUUGGAUGGAAUGCCAGGGCCGAAUUGUUGUCCCAGUCCACCCCUGCUCUGCCCUACUUUUACCAUAGUGAUGAUGCUGAGGCAUGGUGAGGAGGAGCAGGAGUAUCCCACAAUGCCCUUGUCGGGGCCGGAGAUGGAUGCUGCCUGCUGCAGCUCGUGAGCUUCUGUUGAGCUGACGCUUGUUGAUGCCGCCGCAGCUCUUGCUGCCAUUUCCAGACCGUCAACUCGCACUAGUUGUUCGCGAUCACCAGCGCGUGCUUGACCGUGCGGUGAACACCGGUCCCCGCUGCAUUGGAUCCCUUCAACCACCGCGACCAUAAAAAGGACGGACACUGUCAUCCAGCGAUACCCACCGAAUACCGUCUCUGUCUCCCGCAGUAGAAGGGGAGAGGGGGUCCAGUGCCGUCCGCAGCAUGAGCAUGGACCCCCUGGCCAAGCCCUGCCCGUCCCAGGCGGAGCACAACCCCGGGACCUUCAGCGGUCGAAUGACCGCGCUGGAAGCGGCCGGGGAUGACAGCGAGUCCGGCUGCGGCGAAGAGGAGGCCAUGGGGGGCAGCGAUACGUUCAGUAGCCUCGUCGAAAUAGAGGUGGAGACGCUGGAGGAGAAAUUAAAGGGUCUGGCUUUUAGGAAACAGAUUUCGUAUAGAGAUGGUGAUGAUCCCCAACCAGGUCACCCAACAACAGAGAGAAGAUUAACAACCACACAGAGAGAAACGGAACAAGAUGCAAUAACAUCAACUCUGAUAUCUGGGCCCUCAUCCACAAAGCGUCUCUGAAUAGGAGUGCUGUUCUAGGAUCAGUUCUGCCUUUUAGGUCACAAUGAAUAAGAUUAUAUGGACAGAUCUGAGAUCAGCACUCCUACUCUGAGACACUUUCUGGAUUUGGUUCCCUGAUCGCAGUCCCUGCCUGCAGUAACUGAAGGAAGCAUUGAACUGACCAGAACAGACAGACGCUGACAGCAAAAUUGGUUCCGGUCCAAAUCCGGCCCAGAAUUGGGCAAGGUCUGUUUGCCAUGAAAAGGCCACAACAUCCAUUACCCAGACUCAAAUAUUGGCGUAAAACUCCACAGCAGGCCUUUAUGGGUUUACAGUAAUCAGUUAUCACAGUGUGAGAGUAGAGCGCUCAGCCUGGAACUUGGCCUCAGAAAGAGACUUGGGCUUUUUUGAACAGCCAAUCAGAGUCCUAAUUGAUGAUACAUGAACAGUUCAACAUGCAUAUUCAUGGAUUUCUGUUCCUGACAAACUCCGAUGGAAAGAAGUUCAUAGACCUUUUCUUGUUUGGACAAAAGACCAUCCCCCGUUUCCUCUCCUUCGUGCUUUCUCCUCUGUGACCUCUGGGAAACUGGGGUCGAGUGGUCGAGGAGUGUGUCAAUUUGUUAGUAGGCGAACGGAAGACGGCCCUCUCCUCCUCGAUAGCCUCCUUUUGGCGAGGAAGCACAAGUGCAUCCUACCGCGGAAGAGUUUCGAUAUCUGCCACAACCCAUUAGAAUCAGAUGUAGCGUUGUUGAAGGAGAAAAGCACGGAGCACAUUUAAAAACAACAUGCUACUCAUCCUUUUAUCUUCUAAAAUGUCUUGCACAACUUACUUCAUUUAUUUUGACCACUUUACACUUUACACAUUUAUUUUGGGAUCCGCCCCUGUAAACGUCAUCGGCCCGAUGACACGCGAGUGGGGAAGGAGCUUCUCAUUUCAUUACAAGUGCAUUGUCGUCCACGUUUGGGCUCCACGUCACCUCUUCUCGUUGAUCUUUUAACCUUUGUUUCAAAAGGUGGAGAGAGAGAACGGAGGAGAGAGGACGUAGCCUUCAGUCAGAUCUGGGCCUACUGUACCUCUACCGCUUCAUGCUGUAUAUCAACUGAGCUGCCAAAACCUCAUCCAAAACCUCAUCCUUAACUAAAACGAUAACAAAGCGUCCUCCUGUGUCGCUAGUUAACUGUGGGGCUGGAGAAAUGUAUCCAUGGCUACGGACUGACAUCCAUGACAUCAAAUGUAUAGUUUUAACCAUGUUUUGAGCCUAUAACAGUGUUUGUUUACAUUUGCGUUGUUGACAAGCUUAUAUUUUGGGUCCUAAUGGAGUACGACAGUUGGACUAAGCUCGUGAGGCCUUUAUAGGUUAUAGUCUUCAAGAAUGAUGGGUAUAUCUCAUAGAAGUCCAGAAAUGGAUAUAGCAACUAAGGAUUCUAGCUUUAACUUUGCACUGGGCCUGUUAGUGGUUGGAUGUCCUUGGGAAGAGCCUGGGCCUGGUAGUGGUUGUCUAUGGGAAAUACAAUACAAAAUGUUGUCAUUAUUCAAGGCUGACUCUGAGCUAUACAACCUCUCUCUCUCUCUUUAUCUCUCUAUCUCUCUCUCUCGUCUCAUCUCUCUCUCUCUCUCUCUCUCUCUCUCUCUCUCUCUCUCUCUCAUCUCUCUCUGGGCUGUACAACAGGGAGGAAGUACAUCCCCUCAGUUUCCUCUCUAACUUAGUCAUGUGCCACAGAGACAGCGUGCUGCUGACGCCAUCGUUAUAUACAGAUGAAUACAUAAUGAUAACACACUGAACGGCUGUCUCUGCAGCAGAGAGAGGGCUUACAACUGUCUGCUUCUAUCUGGCCUGUUUCAAUGAUCCCCCUUGUCUCCUCUCUCUCUGUCUCUGUCUCUGUCUCUCUCUCUCUCUCUCUCCCUUCAUUCAGUGACUUCUCGUGUAUUUCUCAAGCAGGCAGAAGGCAUAGGGAGCAACCAGACGGACAAGACAGACAAACAGGGGCUCAAAGAUCAGGGCCCAGGGGGUGACCCCUUUAAAUAAACCCUUUGAUUACAAAGGGAGAGGAGGAGUUGAUCAUUCUCUGUGCUUUGGUUUGGUGCGAGGAGGUGGACAGCUGCUGAGUUUCUGGAGUUUUGACAGCUGGUGAAUGAGAAUGAGGCAUUGGAGCGGUGUGUGUUUGAGCUGCGUGUGUGGGAUGGUUGGGGGUGUUCGGUGGGUGGUGUAGGGGUUUUAAUCAGAAUCUGUGAAUCGCACGCAUGCGUAAACACACGCAGUACGCGCACAUGCAACACACAACACACACCACACACACACACACAACACACACACACACCACACACACAACACACACACACACACACACACACCACACACACACACCACACACACACACACUAGGACAAUAUUAGUGUGACACAUCCUCCUCCAUGUGGGUUGUAAUACCGGUCCUGGUUGUCUGACACUAAGAUAUGUGUGAGGUGUGUGUGAGGAGGUGGUGGUGUGUGUAUGUGUGUGUGUAUGUGAUAGGUGUGUGUGUGUGCAUGCCAGUGUUUUAUUUGAUUGAGUGCGUAGGUAACCGUCAGUCUUAAUCUGUGUGGUGAGGAGAGGAAUGGGGUGAUGUCGGUUUUUAGGAGUAGAGGACAGAUUAUUCCUUUAAAGGUCUCUCUGUCUCCUGGCAUUUUCCAGAGCAGAGCAGCGCUGAGGUUGGGGCUGGCGGCUGGUGUUUUUCCCCAUAAUGCAGCGUGAUGAGGCAUUAAGGGGAUUGGAUGUUCAGGCUGUGUGGAGUCAGUCUCUCCUUAUUUGGUGUCUGACUGGCUGUAAGAGGCUUUCCUGCUGCCUGGCUCCUGCCCCCCCACAAACAUCACAUCACCAGCACCAGGCAGACCAGGCUGAGGGCCUACUACAG
ensembl:lncRNA